rnacentral:rRNA from 1 species
UAAUACGUAGGGUCCGAGCGUUGUCCGGAUUUAUUGGGCGUAAAGAGCUCGUAGGCGGCUCGGUAAGUCGGAUGUGAAAACUCGGGGCUCAACCCCGAGACGCCAUCCGAUACUGCUGUGGCUUGAGUCUGGUAGGGGAGAUCGGAAUUCCUGGUGUAGCGGUGAAAUGCGCAGAUAUCAGGAGGAACACCGGUGGCGAAGGCGGAUCUCUGGGCCAGUACUGACGCUGAGGAGCGAAAGCGUGGGUAGCAAACAGG